rnacentral:rRNA from 1 species
CCCUUAGAUGUCCUGGGCCGCACGCGCGUUACUCUGAUGCAUUCAACGAGCUUAUAACCUUGGCCGAGAGGCCUGGGCAAUCUUGUUAACGUGCAUCGUGAUAGGGAUAGAUUAUUGAAAUUAUUAAUCUUGAACGAGGAAUUCCUAGUAAACGCAGAUCAUCAAUCUGCAUUGAUUACGUCCCUGCCCUUUGUACACACCGCCCGUCGCACCUACCGAUUGGAUGGUCCGGUGAAGCCUCGGGAUUGUGGUUCUUGCCGCUUUAUUGUGGCGUGACCGCGAGAACUUGUCUAAACCUUAUCAUCUAGAGGAAGGUGAAGUCGUAACA